CGUAGGAGACGAGCGUUAUCCGGAUUUACUGGGCGUAAAGCGUGUGCAGGCGGUUCGGCAAGUUGGAUGUGAAAUCUCCCGGCUCAACUGGGAGGAGUCGUUCAAAACUACCGAACUUGAGGUCAUCAGAGGAAGGUGGAAUUCCGGGUGUAGUGGUGAAAUGCGUAGAUAUCCGGAGGAACACCAGUGGCGAAGGCGGCCUUCUGGGAUGAUCCUGACGCUCAGACACGAAAGCUAGGGGAGCGAACGGGAUUAGAGACCCCGGUAGUCCUAGCUGUAAACGAUGUAGACUUGGCGUCGGAGGGUUCAAAACCUUCGGUAGUCGUAGCUAACGCGAUAAGUCUACCGCCUGGGACUACGGCCGCAAGGUUA
rnacentral:rRNA from 1 species